UCUCCGUAGGUGAACCUGCGGAGGGAUCAUUACAGAGUUCAUGCCCUACCGGGUAGAUCUCCCACCCUAUGUUAUUAUUACUUUGUUGCUUUGGGGGGCCGUUAGGCUCCGGCCCGACUACCGGCCCCGGCUGGUAAGCGCCCGCCAGAGGACCCAAAACCCUGAAUAUUAGUGUCGUCUGAGUACUAUAUAAUAGUUAAAACUUUCAACAACGGAUCUCUUGGUUCUG
rnacentral:misc_RNA from 1 species